CAACCUUGAUGGCCUUGAACAUCUAUCAAAAAACUUAGAAAAAUUGAGUUUACCUAGGUGCAGAUCCAUUGAAAUAUUACCAGACCUCUCGUGCUUCGAUAACCUGACAUAUUUGAACAUGAGAGGGUGCUCAAAGCUUCGUGAUGUUCAGGGACUAGAGAAAGUCACAAAUGUAUACAAAUGAGGGAUUUAGCUUCGAGCCUCAGCAAAUUGUCCCCAUCUGUGGAAAUUCGAAAUUUUAAUGAAAAGAUGGGGGUCAAUCUCGCAUAAACUCGUGGAGACCACAGAGCUCUAGGAAUCGAGGUGUUCAACUCUAAAAGAUGUUCAGCGAUGCAACUUAUCAGAAUUCCAUUCGUUCAUUGCACUACUGCAGCAGAGAGAAACAAUGGGUCCCCGAAUUCACAUUUUGCUUUGAAAGGAACGUGGAAGCUGAUGAAGGAAUAUGAUAUGAUGCUUUAGAGAAAUCACUCUCUUGAUAAUGCCAACAGUCAGAUGUCAUAGCCAUCAAGAAACCCCUCAACUAAAGUUAUCUCAGUCCCUCAACAAUUUUUUCGUGAGAUUCAGGACCUGUGGAGGUAUCUUCGGGCAACCAAAGCAGCUUCCGUGACGGCACCCUCGACUUAGCAUUUGCUUCCUUUAAACGUUCGCCCUCUGUAGUUCUUGAAGUUGGCCAUGCAGCUCAUUCUCCUCUGUCUCUGCCCGACGCUGCUCGCCCUUGAUGAGUUCCUCGACGAAUCUCCACACGGAGUCGGGCCUCAAGUCCCUCGACGAGUUCCUCUCCGGCAAGACCUACAUCUCCGGAGAUCAGCUCACGAAGGAGGAAGGACGACAUCAAGGUGUACGCCGCGGCUC